ensembl:lncRNA
AAUGGGUAUCUGUCUCUCACUCAUCGCUGCAGUCGGACGCCGGGACCUCCUCUUACCAUAUCAUUAUUUAUUGAUAUUAUUUAUAUCAGUAUUAUAGUUUAUUUCUUUGACAUUAGUGUGACAGGGGGAUAGGAAGGGAAAUAGGGAAACAGAUAGAGAGAUCUUCUGGAGAUAGCGACAGCAAGGCUCGCCCGGAUCACUCCUCUACGGGCACAUCAACAGAGGAGGAGGAGGAGAGGAGUGGGGUCAGACAUGAAGCUGUAGAGACAAGCUCAGAUGCUCGAGAGGCUCGGAGGAGAACGAUGAGCACGUUGGAGAAGAGCUCCACCAUGGACAAGAUCAAGAGGCCUGUGUGGAGAGUCCCAGGGCUCCGAGGGGCGGCCCGUUGGUUCAGGGGAGCAGGAGCCCAUGCCCCACCCCACAGGACAUCACCCUGACGGCCCUGCUGACCCAGAGCCCCUCCCCACCAGCGCCACCCCUCCACCCCCCCAUCCCCCCCGGGUACCAACGCAGCCAGCCUGGACGAGCUCAUCCAGAGAUGCCUCACCACCUUCGAUGUGGAGGGUGGGCUCAGCAGCCCUCGCUCCUCCCAGCUGGUCCGGAUGACCCUGAUGAUGCACAGCUGGGUGGUCCCAUCGCCGGUCUUCGCCCAGAAGCUCUUCACCCUAUAUCCUCUUCCUCAUGAGUCUAGCCCCACCCCCGCAUCUACAGCCUCCCCUCUAGCGACCUCCCCCCCUGGCCCGUCAGGGAUCUCCCUCCAUGGCGUUAAAACUAUUUAAAAAGGGAAGCAGGCCUACUGAUUUGACGUCACGGCGGAGCUGGAUUCUGCCGUGGGGGGGGGAGAGCCUCAGCACCGGCACCGGUC